rnacentral:rRNA from 1 species
AUUGAACGCUGGCGGCAUGCCUUACACAUGCAAGUCGAACGGUAACAGGUCUUCGGAUGCUGACGAGUGGCGAACGGGUGAGUAAUACAUCGGAACGUGCCUAGUAGUGGGGGAUAACUACUCGAAAGAGUGGCUAAUACCGCAUGAGAUCUACGGAUGAAAGCAGGGGAUCGCAAGACCUUGUGCUACUAGAGCGGCCGAUGGCAGAUUAGGUAGUUGGUGGGAUAAAAGCUUACCAAGCCGACGAUCUGUAGCUGGUCUGAGAGGACGAUCAGCCACCCUGGGACUGAGACACGGCCCAGACUCCUACGGGAGGCAGCAGUGGGGAAUUUUGGACAAUGGGCGCAAGCCUGAUCCAGCAAUGCCGCGUGCAGGAUGAAGGCCUUCGGGUUGUAAACUGCUUUUGUACGGAACGAAAAGCCCUGGGUUAAUACCCUGGGGUCAUGACGGUACCGUAAGAAUAAGCACCGGCUAACUACGCGCCAGCCGCCGCCGUAAUAC